UCAUCCAUACUUUAUUCUAUCUUGCAAGACAAGGACACUGACUUUCAUUAUGGAGUGAGUAGGGUUGAGAGAUUCAAGGCCUUUGUUGCUUCUCUGAGAAAUGAUACAGAAUAUUGUCAGGUGUACGACCUGGCUGUUGAGAAAGUGGGACCACCAGUAACCAGGAUUUCCAUUCACAAAGACAUACUGUCAGAGAAAGAAGACGCCAACACAUUGCAUGAUGAGGUAGUAAAGAAGUUCAUUGAAAAACCACGAAGACUUGCUUUCUUAUACAAAUAGGUAUUCAUAUAUGGCUGAUAGCAAGCUGAUGAUGUCUUACGUCCAUGGCAUGUGAGAAUUUUUCCGGGAACUUUUUAAUGCAGGCAAUGAUGAUUGUCAUUUCAGCACGACAAUGAACGGCAUCACAACUUUUGAUAGUUGUUGAUGACAAAUCUGAGCCUUUUU